ACGGCGAGUGAAGCGGUAACAGCUCAAAUUUGAAAUCUGGGUCUUUCAGGCUCCGAGUUGUAAUUUGUAGAAGAUGCUUCGGGUGCGGCUCCGGUCUAAGUUCCUUGGAACAGGACGUCAUAGAGGGUGAGAAUCCCGUAUGUGAUCGGUCGCUUGCGCCCAUGUGAAGCUCUUUCGACGAGUCGAGUUGUUUGGGAAUGCAGCUCCAAAUGGGUGGUAUAUUUCAUCUAAAGCUAAAUAUUGGCCAGAGACCGAUAGCGCACAAGUAGAGUGAUCGAAAGAUGAAAAGCACUUUGGAAAGAGAGUUAAACAGUACGUGAAAUUGUUGAAAGGGAAGCGCUUGCAACCAGACUUGCGUGUUGUUGAUCAUCCGGGGUUCUCCCCGGUGCACUCGACCUCACUCAGGCCAGCAUCGGUUUCGGUGGUUGGAUAAAGGCCUUGGGAAUGUAGCUCCUCUCGGGGAGUGUUAUAGCCCUCGGUGCAAUGCAGCCUACCGGGACCGAGGACCGCGCUUCGGCUAGGAUGCUGGCGUAAUGGUUGUAAGCGACCCGUCUUGAAACACGGACCAAGGAGUCUAACAUCUAUGCGAGUGUUUGGGUGUCAAACCCAUACGCGUAAUGAAAGUGAACGGAGGUGAGAACCCUUAAGGGUGCAUCAUCGACCGAUCCUGAUGUCUUCGGAUGGAUUUGAGUAAGAGCAUAGCUGUUGGGACCCGAAAGAUGGUGAACUAUGCCUGAAUAGGGUGAAGCCAGAGGAAACUCUGGUGGAGGCUCGCAGCGGUUCUGACGUGCAAAUCGAUCGUCAAAUUUGGGUAUAGGGGCGAAAGA
rnacentral:rRNA from 1 species